rnacentral:rRNA from 1 species
AGCGAACGCUGGCGGCAGGCCUAACACAUGCAAGUCGAACGAACCUUUCGGGGUUAGUGGCGGACGGGUGAGUAACACGUGGGAACGUGCCUUUAGGCUCGGAAUAACUCAGGGAAACUUGUGCUAAUACCGAAUGAGCCCUUCGGGGGAAAGAUUAAUCGCCUUUAGAGCGGCCCGCGUCUGAUUAGCUAGUUGGUUGAGGUAAUGGCUCACCAAGGUGACGAUCAGUAGCUGGUCUGAGAGGAUGAUCAGCCACAUUGGGACUGAGACACGGCCCAAACUCCUACGGGAGGCAGCAGUGGGGAAUCUUGCGCAAUGGGCGAAAGCCUGACGCAGACAUGCCGCGUGAAUGAUGAAGGUCUUAGGAUUGUAAAAUUCUUUCACCGGGGACGAUAAUGACGGUACCCGGAGAAGAAGCCCCGGCUAACUUCGU